rnacentral:rRNA from 1 species
GACGAACGCUGGCGGCGUGCCUAAUACAUGCAAGUAGAACGCUGAAGGAGGAGCUUGCUUCUCUGGAUGAGUUGCGAACGGGUGAGUAACGCGUAGGUAACCUGCCUGGUAGCGGGGGAUAACUAUUGGAAACGAUAGCUAAUACCGCAUAAGAGUGGAUGUUGCAUGACAUUUGCUUAAAUGGUGCACUUGCAUCACUACCAGAUGGACCUGCGUUGUAUUAGCUAGUUGGUGGGGUAACGGCUCACCAAGGCGACGAUACAUAGCCGACCUGAGAGGGUGAUCGGCCACACUGGGACUGAGACACGGCCCAGACUCCUACGGGAGGCAGCAGUAGGGAAUCUUCGGCAAUGGACGGAAGUCUGACCGAGCAACGCCGCGUGAGCGAAGAAGGUUUUCGGAUCGUAAAGCUCUGUUGUAAGAGAAGAACGAGUGUGAGAGUGGAAAGUUCACACUGUGA